UGGGAGCUCUUGUACGAUCCUUUAUCCUGCACAUGGUAGAGUCUAGCAGAUUCACUCUGCCACAGAAGGGCAAAACUGGGGCCAGAUAAGUUAACUGCAAGUAAGAUCUGGCAUUGGGAGCCAUUUGGAAACCAUGAAGGAGUUAACCUGAAGAUCUGAAAGAAAGUCGACCUUGGUGCCACUCUCUGGCAAUAGUCCUUAUGAGAGCCUGGAAGAGGAAUACCAGAGAAUUUUGGGAAAUUCACGCAGGUCUAAGAUUCCAUCGAGCCUCAGGGCUGCUCCAGGAAGGGCUCCAUGUCCCAAUGGCUCUGGCUGUGUGUAUUUAUUACAGCUCUUUCAUUCAUUCAACAACAAUUUAUUAAGUCCUACCCUUCGCUGGUUCUGUUAAGUUCUGAGGAUUCUAGGAUAUGGAAGACACCAACAGUGGCCUCUCGAUA
rnacentral:lncRNA from 1 species